rnacentral:rRNA from 1 species
UCCAGACUCCUACGGGAGGCAGCAGUCGGGAAUAUUGCGCAAUGGAGGAAACUCUGACGCAGUGACGCCGCGUAUAGGAAGAAGGUUUUCGGAUUGUAAACUAUUGUCGUUAGGGAAGAUAAAAGACAGUACCUAAGGAGGAAGCUCCGGCUAACUACGUGCCAGCAGCCGCGGUAAUACGUAUGGAGCAAGCGUUAUCCGGAUUUACUGGGUGUAAAGGGAGCGCAGACGGCAGGGCAAGUCUGAUGUGAAAGUCCGGGGCUCAACCCCGGGACUGCAUUGGAAACUGUCCGGCUAGAGUGCAGGAGAGGUAAGUGGAAUUCCUAGUGUAGCGGUGAAAUGCGUAGAUAUUAGGAGGAACACCAGUGGCGAAGGCGGCUUACUGGACGACGACUGACGUUGAGGCUCGAAAGCGUGGGGAGCAAACAGGAUUAGAUACCCCAGUACC